CCUACGGGUGGCAGCAGUGAGGAAUAUUGGACAAUGGGCGUAAGCCUGAACCAGCCAAGCCGCGUGAGGGAAGACUGCCCUAUGGGUUGUAAACCUCUUUUGUCAGGGAGCAAUUGUCGCUACGUGUAGCGUUAUCGAGAGUACCUGAAGAAAAAGCAUCGGCUAACUCCGUGCCAGCAGCCGCGGUAAUACGUAGGAUGCGAGCGUUAUCCGUAUUUAUUUGUUUAAAAGGGUGCGUAGGCGGAAUGCCAAGUCAGCGGUAAAAUCGCGGGGCUCAACCUCGCCCCGCCGUUGAUACUGGCGAUCUAGAGUGGGAGAGAGGUAUGCGGAAUGCGUGGUGUAGCGGUGAAAUGCGUAGAUAUCAGGAAGAACACCGAUUGCGAAGGCAGCAUACCGGGGCCCAACUGACGCUGAAGCACGAAAGCGUGGGUAUCGAACAGGAUUAGAUACCCGUGUAGUC
rnacentral:rRNA from 1 species